UACGUAGGCAGCAAGCGUUGUUCGGAGUUACUGGGCGUAAAGGGUGUGUAGGCGGUUGCUUAAGUUUGGUGUGAAAUCUCCCGGCUCAACUGGGAGGGUGCGCCGAAUACUGAGUGACUCAAGUGCGGGAGAGGUGCGUGGAAUUCCCGGUGUAGCGGUGAAAUGCGUAGAGAUGUGGAGGAACACCAGUGGCGAAGGCGGCUCUCUGGGACGGUACUGACGCUGAGACGCGAAAGCGUGGGGAGCGAACAGG
rnacentral:rRNA from 1 species